UACGUAGGGGGCAAGCGUUGUCCGGAAUCAUUGGGCGUAAAGCGCGUGUAGGCGGCCAGAAAAGUCCGCUGUGAAAACUCGAGGCUCAACCUCGAGAUGUCGGCGGAAACCAUCUGGCUAGAGUCCGGAAGAGGAAAGUGGAAUUCCUGGUGUAGCGGUGAAAUGCGCAGAUAUCAGGAAGAACACCCGUGGCGAAGGCGGCUUUCUGGGACGGUACUGACGCUGAGACGCGAAAGCGUGGGGAGCGAACAGG
rnacentral:rRNA from 1 species